rnacentral:rRNA from 1 species
AGGGCGUUCNGGUGAAUGUGGCGUUCGGGAGCGAGCUCCCCCGAGCCCGUGCCAGCGCAGCAAGUCUUCCUGACAGGAGCUCUUGCCCGGAGCGGGUGCGAGGCCCAUAGCUGCCGGCGCGACUCGGGAGGCGAACUCCCCGGAGUCGGGUUGCUUGGGAGUGCAGCCCUAAGCGGGUGGUAAACUCCACCUAAGGCUAAAUACUGCCGCGAGACCGAUAGCAAACAAGUACCGUGAGGGAAAGUUGCAAAGAACUUUGAAGAGAGAGUUCAAGAGUACGUGAAACUGCUCAGAGGCAAAAGGAUGGGCCCUCGAAAUCCCGUCCCGACGGGGGAUUCAGUCGGAAGGUUCCGGGCGUGCCAAACGGAAAAAUCGGCGGUCGCARAGCUGCGUCGCGCCGUCGGCACCGUUCYGGGAYUUCGCCCGACGCAAUUCCCCCCGGGCAGAGGACGCCGCAGCCGGUUCGGUAAAAAUUUUUCAAAGAGGUCGGCCGURAAGGGAGGAGUCGRCAGUUGGCGCGCUCACCGGCAUAAGCGUCGNAAGAGACGCGUGGMUAGCYUUCCUCCCUMGAGGCGCGACGCCGGACMGAGGGAACGGUCGRCGCAUGUCGACCUGCCGUGCCMUACGCAAUMGAGCGGGACCGUUAGUCUGGGGMGAAAGCGGUCGMGGAUCKAUCCACCRAAGCGGUGGMGAUCCCSCCAGCCCCUCCGGAGGAYUUCGGCGCCCCGCGGCGRAAGGCAAGCGGCUGGCGGMGAGUAGGUCGGUCACCCAUCCUACCYGUCUUGAAACRCGGMCCAAGGAGUMUAACAUGUGCGCGAGUCGAUGGGUCUURAAUAGGCCCGCGGGCGCAAUGAAAGUAGAAMCMCCGGUAUUAAGCSCCGGUCGAGAGUUGGGAUCCGGAGAAAUGAAUUGAUUUAUACUCCGGCGCACCAACGACCCGCCCCGUCCGACACGUCGGUGGGGCGGAGUCGGAGCGCACACGUUGGGACCCGAAAGAUGGUGAACUAUGCCCGGGCAGGACGAAGUCAGAGGAAAYYACUGUGUGGAGGUCCGCAGCGGUUCUGAAGUGCAMAUCGGAUC